CCUACGGGGGGCAGCAGUGAGGAAUAUUGGUCAAUGGACGAGAGUCUGAACCAGCCAAGUAGCGUGAAGGAUGACUGCCCUAUGGGUUGUAAACUUCUUUUAUAUGGGAAUAAAAUGUUCCACGUGUGGGAUUUUGUAUGUACCAUAUGAAUAAGGAUCGGCUAACUCCGUGCCAGCAGCCGCGGUAAUACGGAGGAGCCGAGCGUUAUCCGGAUUUAUUGGGUUUAAAGGGAGCGUAGGUGGAUUGUUAAGUCAGUUGUGAAAGUUUGCGGCUCAACCGUAAAAUUGCAGUUGAAACUGGCAGUCUUGAGUACAGUAGAGGUGGGCGGAAUUCGUGGUGUAGCGGUGAAAUGCUUAGAUAUCACGAAGAACUCCGAUUGCGAAGGCAGUUCACUGGACUGCAACUGACACUGAGGCUCGAAAGUGUGGGUAUCAAACAGGAUUAGAUACCCUUGUAGUC
rnacentral:rRNA from 1 species